UACGUAGGGUGCAAGCGUUGUCCGGAAUUAUUGGGCGUAAAGAGCUCGUAGGCGGUCUGUUGCGUCGGCUGUGAAAACCCGGGGCUCAACUCCGGGCCUGCAGCCGAUACGGGCAGACUAGAGUUCGGCAGGGGAGACUGGAAUUCCUGGUGUAGCGGUGAAAUGCGCAGAUAUCAGGAGGAACACCAAUGGCGAAGGCAGCUCGCUGGAACGGUACUGACGCUGAGGCGCGAAAGCGUGGGGAGCGAACAGG
rnacentral:rRNA from 1 species